rnacentral:tRNA from 1 species
GUCUUCGUGGUGUAGUGGUCAGCACUCUUGGUCUAUUCGAGAGGUCCGUGGUUCGAUUCUCGGCGAAGGCG